AUUUAAUAGCAUUUGCAAAUUCAAGACAUUUCACUAUAUUUCGUAAAGUUAACACCUUGGGUGGAUUUAGACUUACAUAUAAAGAAAGGCGUAACACAAGUGAUUCCGCAAACCAAGAAGGCAACGAAAAUGCUCUGUUUACGUCCGAAGCGUUCCAACGCCAUCAUGAUUAACAAAGACGCCACGAUCUCCAUAAACAUGCUAAGGGCGAAGUUCACAUAUUUGUCACCGGACAUGGACACCGAAUUAAUUGUGAGUCCAUAAUAAACAAAGGUGACCGAUAUCCAACACCAGCAACAAAUGCAAAACCGGAGCAUAAGUAUUUUAGAUUUUAAUAAAUUCAACCAUGGAUUGUU